CAGCUGUUGGUGGGGGCGUCUGUGCAGACAUAUUUACUGGAGAAGACCAGGGUGGCGUGCCAGCCGGCGAACGAGAGGAACUUCCACAUCUUUUACCAGAUGAUGAAAGGAGCCACAGAGGAGCAGAGGACGGACUGGAAGAUGCCACGCGACCAGCGUUUCGUGUGGCUGCCAAAUUCUGAAAAAACUGUUGAAGAGGACUGUUUUCAGGAGACUGUGGAGGCGAUGGUUCAUCUGGGCAUCAGUGCUGAGAGACAGAGACAGAUAUUCAGG